rnacentral:rRNA from 1 species
UACGUAGGGGGCAAGCGUUGUCCGGAUUUAUUGGGCGUAAAGAGCGUGUAGGCGGCCAGAUAGGUCCGUUGUGAAAACUCGAGGCUCAACCUCGAGACGCCGAUGGAAACCAUCUGGCUAGAGUCCGGAAGAGGAGAGUGGAAUUCCUGGUGUAGCGGUGAAAUGCGCAGAUAUCGGGAGGAACACCGGUGGCGAAGGCGGUUCUCUGGGCCUUACCUGACGCUGAGGAGCGAAAGCGUGGGGAGCGAACAGG